GACGAACGCUGGCGGCGUGCUUAACACAUGCAAGUCGAACGGAAAGGCCCUGCUUUUGUUGGGUGCUCGAGUGGCGAACGGGUGAGUAACACGUGAGUAACCUGCCCUUUACUUUUGGAUAACUUCAGGAAACUGGGGCUAAUACCGGAUAUGAGCUCCUGCUGCAUGGUGGGGGUUGGAAAGUUUCGGCGGUUGGGGAUGGACUCGCGGCUUAUCAGCUUGUUGGUGGGGUAGUGGCUUACCAAGGCUUUGACGGGUAGCCGGCCUGAGAGGGUGACCGGCCAAAUGGGGACUGAGAUACGGCCCAGACUCCUACGGGAGGCAGAAGGGGGGAAUAUUGAAAAAGGGGCGGAAGCCGGAGGAAGAAACGCGGCGGGCGGGAUGACGGCCUUCGGGUGGUAAACCGCUUUCGCAUGGGACGAAGCGUGAGUGACGGUAAUGGGUAAAGAAGCACCGGCUAACUACGUG
rnacentral:rRNA from 1 species